GAUGAACGCUGGCGGCAUGCCUAACACAUGCAAGUCGAACGAAGGCUUCAGCCAUAGUGGCGCACGGGUGCGUAACGCGAGGGAAUCUGCCCUCAGGUUCGGAAUAACAGCGAGAAAUUGCUGCUAAUACCGGAUGAUAUCGCGAGAUCAAAGAUUUAUCGCCGGAGGAUGAGCCCGCGUAGGAUUAGCUAGUUGGUGUGGUAAAGGCGCACCAAGGCGACGAUCCUUAGCUGGUCUGAGAGGAUGAUCAGCCACACUGGGACUGAGACACGGCCCAGACUCGUACGGGAGGCAGCAGUGGGGAAUAUUGGACAAUGGGCGAAAGCCUGAUCCAGCAAUGCCGCGUGAGUGAUGAAGGCCUUAGGGUUGUAAAGCUCUUUUACCCGGGAUGAUAAUGACAGUACCGGGAGAAUAAGCUCCGGCUAACUCCGUGCCAGCCGCCGCCGUAA
rnacentral:rRNA from 1 species